UCCGGUUUGACACCGGCGGUCCCGUUAGAGUCCUCAGCAUAACCUGUUAGCAACUAACGGCAGGGGUUUCGCUCGUUAAGGGACUUAACCCGACACUUCACAGCACGAGCUGACGACAGCCAUGCAGCACCUGUGCACGUUCCACUCAAAGAGCGUCACUCCUCUUUCAAGGAGCUAAUCCGUGCAUGUCAAGCCCAGGAUAAGGUUCUUCGCGUUGCUUCGAAUUAAGCCACAUGCUCCACCGCUUGUGUGAGCCCCCGUCAAUUCCUUUGAGUUUUAGCCUUGCGACCGUACUCCCCAGGCGGUGCACUUAAUGCUUUCGCUGCGGCCGAGAUGGCGUCAAAACCUCCUCGACCUAGUGCACAACGUUUAGGGCGUGGACUA
rnacentral:misc_RNA from 1 species